AGGACGAACGCUGGCGGCAUGCCUAACACAUGCAAGUCGAACGGAGUUAAGGAGCUUGCUCUUAAACUUAGUGGCGGACGGGUGAGUAACGCGUGAGCAACUUGCCUCUCGGUGGGGAAUAAUGUACUGAAAAGGACACUAAUACCGCAUAACGUAUCGGGACCGCAUGAUUCUGAUACCAAAGAUUUAUCGCCGAGAGAUGGGCUCGCGUCCGAUUAGCCAGUUGGUGGGGUAACGGCCUACCAAAGCGACGAUCGGUAGCCGGACUGAGAGGUUGAACGGCCACAUUGGGACUGAGACACGGCCCAGACUCCUACGGGAGGCAGCAGUGGGGGAUAUUGCGCAAUGGGGGAAACCCUGACGCAGCAAUGCCGCGUGGAGGAUGAAGGUCUUCGGAUUGUAAACUCCUUUUGUCAGGGACGAAAAUGACGGUACCUGACGAAUAAGCUCCGGCUAACUACGUGCCAGCCGCGGC
rnacentral:rRNA from 1 species